ensembl:lncRNA
AUGUGCUUCUUGUGUUCGCAGCAAAUUACCGCAAUCAAAGGAUGGCGCUGCCUCACUCCAUUGCCCCCCCCGAGUCCUUGCACAGCAAUCACGUCAUCCCAGAGGUUCAAAGAUGAAGACAUCAGGAUGUCUAAAGCAGCAGAGGAGGAGAAGCCUGGGACUGAGUAUCCAGGGGACAGUUCAGACUCUAACAGGAACAGCCCCGAUGACCAGGUCCAGCCGAUGAAAACAAGCCCUUCAGACGUCUCCCCAACACGGACCGUCAGCAAGGGAAAAGGCGAGGAAAGCUGUGAGAUGAUCCACACCACCAUCCCCCCUGCUCCACCUACACCUCCCUCCCAGCAACAGCUACAGCAGCAGCAACAGCUACAGCUACAACAGCAGCAGCAACAGCAGCAGCAACAGCAGCAACAGCUGCAACAGCUGCAACAGCACCAACAGCAGCAACAGCAGCAGCAACAGCAGCAACACCACCAGCUGAUGCUGGCUGGCAGUCAGCUAGCAGGGGUGAGACAUCACACACGCACAAUGUGUAUGAAUGAAAUAAUGCAGGCGGAAAGGUUUGACCCUGUUAUUGUCCAACAAUAGCAACUCUAUUUCACAGAUUUCCAAGCUGGACAUUUUUACUUUAUGUGAACAUUGAUUUGUACAGAAAACAAAUGGAUUUUCACAUCUGUGUCUAAAUGAAGUUGAGUUAAAUGUUCUGUGAAUGAAGUAAACAGCAUUCAUAUGAGCGACACUGUGUUCACUUGUUAAUGUUAAGCUCAGAGGAAUGUUGUGUCAACGGUAGGAAAACAUUCAGUAAAACAACAUGCCUGCCCUGAGGAUAGUCGCUGUGUGGGUGUGUGUAGGUUAAGCGAGAGGCUCCUGUCUAGGUUCUGGUAACAGUUUAGGCUACACAUCCAUUCCUGGAAAGUUGCUCCUUGUUCUCUCUCCUGACUUUCCUUCAUGUCCUGGUGCAUUUCAUCCCUCUGUCCUUCACAUCCGCUAACUGCGUCUUCUUCACCCCCCAGCUCGCCGCCCUCCUCCCGGCCCAGCAGCAGCUGCUGCUCCAGCAGGCUCAGGCUCAGCUCCUGGCGGCCGCUGUUCAGCAGUCCAACGCCGCGCACGCCGCCCAUGCAGCCCACGCCGCCCACGCCGCCGCCCAGCAACAGGCCAACCAGCAGCAGCAGCAGAACCAGUCACAAUCUCAGCAGCAGCAAACCAAACAGGAACAAACUGUCCAAGUCCCGCCUCCCCAACAGCUGGCCCUGUCCCAGCCAAUCCAGCUCACAGCCCAGGUAUGAACCUCCAGCGAUGAACAGGGUGUAGCUUUUCAACUGAAACCGCCCUGACAGUCGAUUGAUUCACAUGAAGAUAAGCGCCCGAUCUUUGAGUUGCAGCUCUCGUAUUUAUUUAAGACUUUUUGCUUCCGUCUGCGCUGUGGAUUGAAACGU